rnacentral:lncRNA from 1 species
CAUCAUGAAAUCUCGAGUCAGUGGAUCGUUGGAAAACGUCCCAGAUGGCUUACCCACCACAGCACAAUCUGUACCUGAUAAUGAUUCACCACUCACACUACACUUCAUAGAACAAGAAUCGGUUCCUGAUAAUGAUUCAAGUGCGUCAGAGUACUUGUCGUCAUCUUCUUCUUCUUCAUCAUCUUCUUCACCAUCAUUAGCAUUAGUAAUAGCAGCAGUCGCUUUGUAUUUCAAAGCACUGGACGAUUUCUGCUUGGGCAGUGUUACAGAUGUCUGAACUUUGAGUCCUCUCUUGUCGUCCUGAUUCUUCACAAUACCCGGAACCCAUCUGAU